CUUAACUGGGCGUUCAGUCUCUGGAUAUAGACCCGAAACCAGGUGAUCUAGCCAUGGGCAGGUUGAAGGUUGAGUAACAUCAACUGGAGGACCGAACCGACUAAUGUUGAAAAAUUAGCGGAUGACUUGUGGCUAGGGGUGAAAGGCCAAUCAAACCUGGAGAUAGCUGGUUCUCCCCGAAAGCUAUUUAGGUAGCGCCUCGGACGAAUACUACUGGGGGUAGAGCACUGUUAAGGCUAGGGGGUCAU
rnacentral:rRNA from 1 species